rnacentral:miRNA from 1 species
CUGCUAAGCCAUCUCUCCAGCCCAAACAAAAUAUUUUUUAAAAGUUAAAAAAAAAAUGAGCUGGAGAGAUGGCUUAGCAGU